UCCUUCCAGAUUUUUCUCCCUCUGUUUCUCUCCGUCUCCGUCUUUCUUUCUUCGACUCUUCUCACUUCUUCCUUCCCGUCUGCACUGUCUUUCUUCUUUCAAGUUGUUCUCAACAACAAAGCACGAAUCUCCGUGUAUUUUAUUUCUUCGCACAUUUCUUUCAAACUUCGCAAAUUCGAGAUUCUAUUUUUCAGAUAUGUAGAAAAAAUUUCUACUUUGUUGCUUUUGAUAUGAAAUGGUUUGGUAUUUCUUGUUUGUUUAAUCUAUUUCUGUUGCAGUUUAUUUAGGUUUUUACUUUCUUCGGUUGAUGUACAUUUAUCUUUCUAUUGUUCUUAUUUCCGUAAAGAUCCGAGCAAACCUUCAUACACUUGAAGAGAGCAUGUUCAGAUCUGUAGGGUUUUUAUUUUUUUUUUAUUUUUGGCUUCUCGGUUGAUACUUAUUUCUUGUUUCUGAAAUCGUCUGAAAAUAUUUCUCCUAUGAACCUUUGUAUUUAUUUUUUAGAUCUAUUGUUCAAAUUUAUUUUUUAUUUAUCUUUAUAAACUUUGACAGAUCUGGACAUCCUAGUCUAGAUCUGUGAAGUUUUGCCUUAGGUUUGUUAGUCUACACACUUAGAUUAUUUUUCACAUUUCUUGUUGCUAUUGUUUUUAUUUCCCUAAAGAUCCUUCGCACACCUUCGCACACUUGAAGAGACCAUGUUCAGAUCUAUGUUUUAUUUUUUGGUUUAUCGAUUGAUGUUUAUUUGUUGCUUGUGGAGCCGUCUGAAAGGAUGUCUCUUAUGGACUUUUCUGUUUAAUUUUUAUUUGAUUGUUGCUUGAGGUUUUUUCUCUUCCUUUGGUUCGAUAUGCAUUUUCCUCUACGAUUUUUGCAUAUUUUUUUUUCCACCUCACAGAUUUGAGAGUUUAUUUGUAACAUCUAGAUGUUUUUUUUUUUUUUUUUGAAACUUGUUUUUUAUUAUUAUUUGUGUUUGUAUAUUAAUUUUUGAAAAUGUCACCAGUUAGCAACAUCUUAUGUAACACAGUAAUGGAGACAGUAAAAGAUAUAGAAAUCGAAGAUUGAACAACAAAUAACACUGGGAUAUUGUAUAGGUUUACAGUAAGCAUCCUCUGAUAUAACACAGAAAUGGACAUACAAAUGCAAACUUGAAUAACAAAUAAGAGCGGUGAACAACAAACAAUUUCAAUUGUUCCUGUUGUUCGACUUUGUUCUUGCCUGGCCUUGUAAUGUUCCUCCUAUGUAAUUUUUUUUUUACAUCUAAGUGCUCUACGAGCAAAUUAUGUA